ensembl:lncRNA
CCCCGCGCCCGUCAUGUCAGGGAUCGCCUUUAUGUGCGGGCGAAGAGAAUGUGGCGAGCCGGGCGUCCUGGGUGGCUCGUUCCUCCAGAGGUGGGGACACUGCUCCGAAAUGAGCCUCCACCCCUCUCCGCUCCGUGCGCCGCGGCGAGGAACCCUCAGGGGGUGAGGCCCCGAGCGGGGUCGGCGUGAGGGGGUGACUCCGCUCCCGGCCGGGCCCUGCCCCGGGCCCGCCGUGCCCGCAGGCUCCGGCGAGGUGCGGUCAUUGCAUAAGGCCGGGCCGUGCCCCUGAGCUCCCGCUGACACGCUGUGGCCGCGGUUGUCCCCUCUGUGGCUGUCCCCUCGCGGCUGUCCCCUCUGCGGGUCUCCCCUCUGCGGCAGCCCGGCCACCUCCGGCCCUGCUGGUGCCUCGCCUGGAACACAGCAGGGGUGACUCGCCCCGCCGAACGCGCUGUCAUGGUCCCUUUGAUGAGUUCAAGAUCUUGGGAAUUGAGGAAGGUUUUCUUGUCACUUCUUCCACUGGUGUGGGAAUCCAGGGCUUCCCUCUGGCUGCCCUGGCAGGGGUCAGGAACCCCCCUGGACAGAGCCCCGAGAGACACUGUCUGUGAUCUCUGGCCAUGGAAAAGAGUUUUCAAUCUUACAGGAUGAAUUACCAGCUUUGAGUGUUUGAUAUAAGUAAUAAUUAAGUGUGGCACGGGUGCAAAAGUAAAAUUUUAGAUUUCUAGAUUAGGGGUUCAGAGGGGACAAGAUGGAGGAAAUUGGGUAUGUCGUGUCCUUUUCCUCCUUCUUCAUGCCCUCCAUUUUUCACUGUGCUGUUGGCAUUUUUCUGUUGGUUUAGGCUGGGGACACGCUGUUCAACGUAGGUGACAGAUAUUGGCACGUUAUUGUAAAUGCAGCACAGGUAGUUUCUGGUAUUUAAUGUUUGUACCAUCCCACUGAGGGGCAGAGCCCCGCACGCUGCCCUGCAGGACAGAGCUGCGGCAGGGCAGCAGAACAUGUUAGAGAUAAACAGAAUAAACAACCUUGAAACCAGCACAGACGAAUUAUGGCUUCUGCUUUGGCAGCGGGGCUGACAGACAGAGACUUUCUACAAUCUCGGAAUCACCAGUACCCACAGAUUCCGACACACUGGGAUGUGAUGGCAUGAGCAUCCCUCUAGGAACGUGACACAGCAACUGGAUUUAGCCUGUGCUCUGCAGGAGUUUCCACAGGGACUUGGCUUUUUGUGCCUCUUGCUUACACACUGGGCUGGGUUGGUGAGUGUCCUCGUCCUUCCUUCCUCCGAGGCACUGUCAGGGUCAAUUACAUUGAGUAAAGUGGAGUGGGGGAAGCAAAGUCACUGCAAUAUUUAGGGUUUCAGUAUGAUGGUGUCCGUUGGGAAACACCUGCAAUCAGUAGGUGAUGCCAUUUGAGAAAUCGAGAGGUACUGAGUGUAAAGAACAGAUUGUGCAAGUGUUUAGAUGCCUGGCUAUUUUUUCAGUAGUGCCCACUAAUUUGGGCAUGUUUUCCUCUCUGGAUGCCCAGUUGGAGAUGGCUCAGAGGAGCUCAUGUUUGGAAGUCACGUACUGAAGUCAUGGCUCCUUCAGGGUGUCACUCAUGUUCACAGCUGGGCACAGAGGCAGUGAGCAUCCCUGUGGCCCAGGUCUCAGCAUGGGAGAACCACUGCACUGUUGUCUUCUUGCCAAAACCCUGAAUGUCUCAUCACCACAUGGAAAAGCAUCUUGCUGGAGAAUGAAUUCGUAAAUAGUGCAGUAACAUGAACCCAUCACACAUCAGAAACAGCUGGCUUUACAGUGGUCAGGUGAGUGCAUUCACAAGUUUACCACGAAGUGGAACUGGAAUUAGCUUGAUGUGUUUCACCUCCUGUAUGCUGCUCACCUCACCAUGAUGAUGAUGCCAACUGCAUUAUGUUGUCUUUUUCUGUUGGCCAAAGAGAGAACAGAAAUCAUCCUAAGCUUUUUUUUUUUUUUUUUAAAUUUAGUUGUAUGGUGUUACACGUUAUCCAAAAAGCUCUUUUCAGAACUCUGUCUUCUCUGCUGUACAGAGAGACACUUUGUUGGAUAAAAUUAAAUUCAUUGGACAUAAAAUCAGGCCAGCCAGUUGUUUGUGCCAAAGCAUGAUGUUUUGUGAAGGGAGAGGCCAUCAUUAUGUAUCUAUUUUGUAGCUGGUUUUAAAUGAACUUUUUCAUUUCAAAACAAUUAAAUAACACGACUUGUCCAUUUGGCUAGCUGCUUUGCCUUGUGCUUGUCUUUUUGGCAUGUUUUCCCAAAACUAGCACAAAUGCAGCAUUUGUUUUGUUGGCCAUGGACUGACUGGAACAACCCACACUAUUAAAUUUUGAUGGAAAAGGGCAUUCAUGAGUUUUUAAAGCUCUAGUGGCCUGUGCCUCUGUGUUUUUGUGCUGUGUUAUCCUCUUAGCCUGUAACAGUCCAGGAGGACACCGAAAUCCUCUGUGUACCAUGAACAGUGUGAGGCAGCCAGAGAGGAGCUCUGCCUUGGUGUGCUGCUGUCCUGCCUGCAGGAUGCUCACUCCUGAAGGGAGGUGUUCUCCAGCAGAAGAUUUCCUGCAUUGCCCAGCAGUCCAUGGAGCAGGAUUCCGUGUCUGGGCAGCACCAAGCCUCUCACCCACGGAGGGCUUCCUUGGGAUCCAGCUUCCCAGGAGGUUCCCCUCUGCAAAGAGCUGCAGGAGCCAUCCUCUGAAGGGGUGGCUGUGCAGGUGGGUUCCUGGUUCCCUGUGCCCUCCUGCUGCCGUGCUCCUGGUCUGAUGCUGUGGAUGCUGUCUGCCAGACACUGGACACUGCUGCAGGCAGACUCUUGGGCUGCCUUUGAAGAAGGCAAACUCACCAGUCCUUAACCAGCCAGCAAAGAUAUUCAAACCCACAUUGAAGAAAUAAGCCUAAAAGUUCUCUCAGAGAAGAUACACUAUAGAAAGAGUAAGAUGGAUGCUCUACAUAAAUUGAAGAUUUUGGUGAUGUUUUUGUCUCUGGCUACUUUCAUGAUCAUGGUGAUAAUGAAUGCUGGAAAUGCCACUGGGAUUUUCAAAGGUCUGUUCAGGACAACCCCUGGAAACAUCUCAGCCAAGUACAGCACAGAUUUCACACCAGCUGGCUGGACUUUCCUCAUCUGGAAUGUCAUCUACGCCUGGCAGCUCGCCUGGCUUCUCUACGCCUUGUCAGGGAUCUGCAGAAGGAAUGAACUUGGAUAUGUCUUCAUGAAGCCAGACUUGCUGCCAAUACCUUUUUAUGUGGCGUGGUGUCUGAAUAAUGGCCUCAAUGUUGGAUGGCUCUUUCUGUGGGACCGAGAAUACCUCCUUCCAGCCCUGGUGUUCCUGGCAGUCCUGUCCCUUACCACAUGUGCCUGCCUGUUUGUCUCCCACCGAGCCUUGAGCAUCCAUUCCUCGUGGUUUGUGAAGGCUAACAAGGCUGAGCUCUGGCUCAUCCGCAUUCUGGUGCAGAACGGGCUGGCUCUGUACCUGACGUGGACCAGCAUCGCCACGCUGCUCAACUUCGCCGUGGUGCUCAUCCACAAGUGGAACGUGCCCAGCGAGAAAGCGACCACUGCUUCCCUGAGCAUCCUGGCUCUCAGCCUGGUGAUAUGGUUUUAUCUAGAAAAUUACCUUCUCGACAAGUACGUCCGCUAUAACCUCACAGUCUACCCCGUGGUCAUAGCAGCUCUGACAGGCAGCGCCUGUGGGAACGGCUCCUUCUCAUCCCCACUGACCAACCACGUUUUCAUAGUUGUUCUGCUGGCACUGACGUGUUUGAUCUUUGCUGUUCGGCUGGGACUGGUUGUGUGGAGACACUGGAAGAGACCACUGGAAGCAUGAGAACCCUGAGGCCCAUCAGGCACAGUGACCUGAGACCUCUGGCACAUUGUGGGUGAUGCUUGAAAGGGAGAAAAAAGAAUUGGGCAUGUGCUGGCUCUUGUUCCUGUAUCCAUUCCCUUCUGCAUUUCUCUCUUAUUCUCUGUUCCAAAUGCAGAUGUCUUGUGUCCGCAAAUGUGUCUUGCUCCCACAUUCUCUCAGAUCAGUUACUCACAACCCUGUCUUGAGUUCCUUUGGUUUUAUCCUGGAAAAGUUCAGGAAAAGCAGCCCUGUGCAGCUUUGUGAUGCCUGGGCUGUGGCUCUCUUCUCCUGCCAGUGCAAGCAGGGCUGCCAACAGGCACCCAGCAGGCCUGCACACACAGUUUUUCCUGUUUUUCCCUUGGUAUCUCACUUUCUUGGAAGUGCAGACCCAAGUGACCUGUCCCUGGGGUUCCAGGUGGGAGAGCUGUCAUUCAUUGCCUUGGCCAUCAGGGCUGAGCAUCCUCAAGCCCUGGUGCUGUCAGCAGAUCUCCUGCAGGCAGCCACUGCUCCUUUCCUGCUUCUCUGCAGCAUGACAGGGGCAGAGACUAGGAUUUGACAUCUGCCUUUGCAGUGUCAGCUCUGCAGUUUGAUGUUCAAGGGGGCAGGGGGAGGGACUGAAGGUUUCUGACACAAAGGUGUUGGUGUUGCCUUUCCCUGAGCUGGGCACAGCUUGGGCUGGCUGGAUGUCUCUCACUGGGGGAGUUUGUGGCUACUCUGGAAGGAGCUCAGAUGUACAGAUGAGCUGGUCCCUGAUCUGGGGUGAAGCCUGAUGCUUCAAAGGAAGCCUGUUAAAAAAAAAAUAAAUAAAAAUUGAACAGGUAGAGCAAGUUCAUCCUGGAUCAGUGCCUUCUCAUGUGGCUUCACCACUUCUGAGUUGGGAUUAGGAAGCCUAAAACUGGAUUGACUGAAUUUUUGGACCACUGCCUUUCCUUCCUGUGCCUAAUUGAGAGCUGGUGGUGCCUCACAGGUGUCUGGAAAGUCUUGGCACCAGGAAGGUGCUUUCAGUGCAUCUUGCAGUAUUAUUAACAAAGCUAAAUUCUAAAAUAACAUGUGCUGUUGUUUACAUUUAGCAAAAAGCAAAAGCAGUGUAAUGCAUCUCCCCUCAUCAUUCUGGUGUGUUGUUUUUUUUUUUUUUUUCUAUUUUUUAAUUUUAAAAUAAGUCAGCUCAUUCUAUCACUCUGCAACUAACUCUGUAAAUCAUCUAAAGCAGCUGUCCUGGCCCCUUCCUCACUCAUGCCCAGGGCUCCAGAGUGACUCUGGUCCCUUGCUGGAAUCUCAUGGAGGUGAAGAGUUGGAGGAUGUAGAUUGCUAGGUAUGAUUUAAACUCCUUUGACCAGCACACUGUUCAUUAAGUUUCUAUUUUAUAGGCUCUGCCUCCCAAGAUCCCAGCUAAUAAAUUCCCAGCAGCCUCUCCCUAAGCUGCCUUCUUUAAUACAGGGGAAUUAAAGCCACUGGCAGGGGGAUUAAGGGGUCCAGGCAAGGUGAGAAGCUGCUGUGAGGCUGUGCAGCAGUUCAUGCAUGGCAGGGUUUUGCAGCCUCCCUCUUGCAGCAAGAGCACUGCAAAGAGCUCCUGGGCCAGGGCAGCUGCACUUUCCCAUUAAAAAAUGCCUUAUCA